GUGUCAGCAGCCGCGGUAAUACGUAGGUGGCAAGCGUUGUCCGGAAUUACUGGGCGUAAAGGGUGUGUAGGCGGAUAUUUAAGUGAGAUGUGAAAGACCCGGGCUUAACUUGGGCAGUGCAUUUCAAACUGGGUAUCUAGAGUACAGGAGAGGAGAAUGGAAUUCCUAGUGUAGCGGUGAAAUGCGUAGAGAUUAGGAAGAACACCAGUGGCGAAGGCGAUUCUCUGGACUGUAACUGACGCUGAGGCACGAAAGCGUGGGUAGCAAACAGGAUUAGAAACCCCCGUAGUCC
rnacentral:rRNA from 1 species